CGCGUAGGCGGUUGUUUAAGUCAGCUGUGAAAGCCCCGGGCUCAACCUGGGAAUUGCAGUUGAUACUGGACGACUCGAGUACGAGAGAGGGAGGUAGAAUUCCACGUGUAGCGGUGAAAUGCGUAGAUAUGUGGAGGAAUACCGGUGGCGAAGGCGGCCUCCUGGCUCGAUACUGACGCUGAGGUGCGAAAGCGUGGGGAGCAAACA
rnacentral:rRNA from 1 species